AGCCGACCUGAGAGGGUGAUCGGCCACACUGGGACUGAGACACGGCCCAGACUCCUACGGGAGGCAGCAGUAGGGAAUCUUCCGCAAUGGACGAAAGUCUGACGGAGCAACGCCGCGUGUAUGAAGAAGGUUUUCGGAUCGUAAAGUACUGUUGUUAGAGAAGAACAAGGAUAAGAGUAACUGCUUGUCCCUUGACGGUAUCUAACCAGAAAGCCACGGCUAACUACGUGCCAGCAGCCGCGGUAAUACGUAGGUGGCAAGCGUUGUCCGGAUUUAUUGGGCGUAAAGCGCGCGCAGGCGGUCUUUUAAGUCUGAUGUGAAAGCCCCCGGCUUAACCGGGGAGGGUCAUUGGAAACUGGAAGACUGGAGUGCAGAAGAGGAGAGUGGAAUUCCACGUGUAGCGGUGAAAUGCGUAGAUAUGUGGAGGAACACCAGUGGCGAAGGCGACUCUCUGGUCUGUAACUGACGCUGAGGCGCGAAAGCGUGGGGAGC
rnacentral:rRNA from 1 species